rnacentral:rRNA from 1 species
GAUGAACGCUGGCGGCGUGCCUAAUACAUGCAAGUCGAGCGAACAGAUGAGGAGCUUGCUCCUCUGACGUUAGCGGCGGACGGGUGAGUAACACGUAGAUAACCUACCUAUAAGACUGGGAUAACUUCGGGAAACCGGAGCUAAUACCGGAUAAUAUAUUGAACCGCAUGGUUCAAUAGUGAAAGAUGGCUUUGCUGUCACUUAUAGAUGGACCCGCGCCGCAUUAGCUAGUUGGUAAGGUAACGGCUUACCAAGGCAACGAUGCGUAGCCGACCUGAGAGGGUGAUCGGCCACACUGGAACUGAGACACGGUCCAGACUCCUACGGGAGGCAGCAGUAGGGAAUCUUCCGCAAUGGGCGAAAGCCUGACGGAGCAACGCCGCGUGAGUGAUGAAGGUCUUCGGAUCGUAAAACUCUGUUAUUAGGGAAGAACAAAUGUGUAAGUAACUGUGCACGUCUUGACGGUACCUAAUCAGAAAGCCACGGCUAACUACGUG